UUCGGUUUGGUACGGUUCGGUUUUAUCAUAUUGAACAUUCCUACGUGUAGAGUACGCGCAGAUUUUCUCUAGUAACUCAUCAAAUUUUGUAUUUACUAUAAUAAUUCAUAAGGUAAAUGAAAAUACCAAAAAACCAACCUUACUUUUAUUAUUUAUAAAAUUGCCACUGAAAUUUAUUAAUAGGAAAAUGUUUAAUUAUUUCCCAAAACAAAUCCCCUUCGUUAAGAUGGUUGUAGUCACGAAGGCUAUGAAAGCAAAUCAGUCCUUUUUUCUCACUUCUCUGACGACUUCUACUUCGUCACAUCCGCCUUCCAUUUCGUCACCUACACCCCAGCUCGCCCUCGUACAAUAGGAAUCAACCCUAAGUCCAAUAUCACCUCUGUCAAAUCCGGAUUUGAAUCGACCAUAACUGAAACUUGAAACUGUAACUCCUAAAUCUUUGCAAUUCUAAGUUGCUAUUAAAUGUUCUUAACAUGUAUUGUUUGGUUGAAUAUGAAAUCUUUGUGCUUCUCGUAGGUUAAUCUUUAUACACAUCAGGUGAAGCUUUGCGACUUUGGUAGCGCUAAAGUUCUGAUAUAGCAUCUAUGACGAAUAAGAGUUAUGUUUAUUUUGUUUUUUCAUAUGCAAUAAACUAUACGCUGUUUUUAUACUGAACGUAACCUUUUUAGCGUUGACGCUUUGUAACAGGUGAAAGGCGAACCAAACAUCUCAUAUAUCUGCUCUCGUUACUACAGAGCACCUGAACUUAUAUUUGGAGUUACAGAAUACACAACAGCUAUUGACAUAUGGUCUGCAGGGUGUGUUCUUGCUGAAUUGCUCCUUGGCCAGCCUCUGUUUCCAGGUGAGAGUGGAGUCGACCAACUAACUAGUCGAGAUUAUUAAGAUGGAGGUAAUAGUUCACCCGUUCUUGGAUGAGCUACGUGAUCCCAACACACGUUUACGUAAUGUCGUCCCUCUCUUCAACUUUAAACCUCAAGGUUUGCCAAAUAUAUAGAAAGAGAACACGUAUUUGUUUAGUUUCCAUUGUUACUAUAAAAAAAAGAUAUUAUUAAAGUGUUUAGAGCUGUUGUCCAAGUUUACACCUGACCACGCCCGAAAGCAAUGUUCCUUCCUCGGUGGUCUCCAAGUGACUUAAAAUCUCUAUAUAAAGAUGUGUAUGUGUGUACACAAACAUGCAUAUGCUGAUCGAUUAAGUAAUGGAUUUAGCCUUUGUCAAGAUUAUUAUAAUUAGCUUUCAUAUUUUUAUGAAUGUAUCUCUGUCGUUAAUUCUCUUGCCACGGUCCCUCACACAAUCCGGAUGAUAGACAUUGUUUUAUUAUAAGAAAAAACUUUGUACUUUUAUAUAAAUGAAUGAUUAGUGUAUGAACGGGCUAAAAUUUGCAUGGGAGUUCUCUUGAUCGUCACAUGGUGAAUCUCUUUCUCGUGUCUUUAGAACUGUGGCAUAAUUCCUCAUAUCUAAUUUCCUCGUUAGCUGCAAGUAAUACUACCUAUCGUUGUCUGCUUCAAAUAAUCACUUAUUUCUAUUGUUGUCCGCUUCAAAUAAUCACUUAUUUCUUUCAAGUUUACAUUUUCCACAGACGAAAAUGAUGUGAUCCAUGUUUUUUCUAAGCAAUUGCAACAAGUGAUAAAACAACCGUUAAAGGAGACAACUUCAUAAAGAAGAAAAGUUGGACGAAAGAGAAAAAAAUUAUACUUAAUUUUGAUUUUAGUUACACUAAAAAUAAACUUGAAUUGAAAUCAAGACAAAACCAGGUUUGAUUCAACAUUAAAUUAAGUUUGGUUUACACAAACCUAGAUUUUCGUCAAAAAAUCUGCCACCUCAUAAAUUAAAACGUUUUCCAUAAAUUUAAGUCCGAUAUGUAAGUCUGCCUUAAGAAAAUAAGCCGAACAUAAAAAAAUAAGUUGAACACAAAAAUCUGCCAUAUGAAAAUAAGUCGAACACAAAAAAAUAAAGUUGAACACAAAAAUCUGCCAUAUGAAAAUAAGUCGAACAUAAGAAAAUAAGUUGAAGAAAAAAAAGUUGAACAAAAAAAUCUACCACUUAUAUUAAAUCUGACUACAAAUUCUGCCGUGGAAACAAAUAUGACUUCUUAGACACUACUUUAGUGAUAGAUUUUUGUUUCUCACCAGAUUUUAUUUACGGACUUAUUUCAAAAAUAAAUCUGCCAACAAUCAAAUGCUAAGGCCAGUUUGGUAAUGUUUUUUUUUCUUAUAAAUAGGAGCAGGGGAAAUUUAGACCAUAUAAACAUUCUAAUAAUUUUUGAAAGAUAUGAGUCAUUCUAGUAAUAACUAAUAACACAAAUAAUUUGUGAAAACUUCCCUAAAUUAAUUUUCAAUACAAAUUCUUUUAGCCUCAUAUAUUUACAGAUUGGUAAAUAAAAUAUGUGUAACACAUGAAGUAACUGGCUAUGAGAUGUCUUACUUAAACGAUAAACACUAAGUUCAAUUUAGCUGGGAUUUUGUAGUAAAACACUCAUUUUUCUUAUGUAAAUUAAAAUUCGAAACAUUUGAGAUUUAUAUUUAAGAGAAGAAAGAGACGAAGAAAGUUGUGAAAGAAUGCGAGAAACAUGAAAAGAAAGAAAAAAAAAUAUUUUUAAUUGUUUUGUGUUUGGGAUUAAACCCAAUAUUAUAUCUAUACAUACACCAAUUAUAUAUUGCUUACAAAAUCUUAACCAAAUCAUAAUAGGGUGUCCUAAUCUAAACCUAGCCUAUAAACCUACCUUAUCAAUUUAGAGUAAUUUACCUCAACAAAAAAGGUUAUCUAAAUAAUUUUACACCUACUUUUUCCACUAUUCAACUCACCUUUCCAUCAUUGCAAAUUAUGAUUUCACAAUUGGAAGGGAGAAAAAUCUUAUCUUAAUUAAUAAUAAAAACCUAAACUAUUUAAGAAUCAUGAUUAUCUAAAAUAUAACAAAUAAUUAUAAUCAAGUAAUAUACGAUGUUAAAAUAAGGUCAGGUCUGAAAUAAGCAAUGAUAGCAAUAGCAAAUUUGUGGAAAAAGUCCUGAAAAAAAGGCAAAACCAUCAUCGUUUUGAAAAAUACGGUUAUAAUGACUUGAUGAGAUUGUAGUGAAGACGUUUGUUAGCUCUUGUUUGACGGUGAUAUCCCCUGCCUCCUCGUCCAACACAUCAUUGCUUAAAACCAACAUUCAGAUACAACUGAACACAAAUAUACACAAAUCAAAGAUCUUGUCUACAAACCUGUAUGCUGCUUUUGAUUUGAGAAUCGAUGUGAUGAUCUUCUUCGACCUGAAAUGGUUAAUAAAAUGAGAGAACCUUAGUUCAUAGGUAACUCAUAGGUGAUUCAACGACUCGUUGAAUUGCUUUGGCUCCUACACGCAUAAGUAAGAGCAAAUCCACGACAAGGAGUCAAAAACGAGGUUUUGCUUUAGCACCAAGUCAAGAUAGAGAGACCUGUUCAAAGACCAAGACUGUAAGAAAGUUGAGAAAACAUUCAUCAGUAGUACUAUCUUCAUCUCACUAGUUUUAUAUAACCAGAAACUAGAGCAAAAAUUUUGAUUAGGUUGUUUAUACCUGAGCAACCUUACACGAUGUAAUGUAGACGUCUUCAGAGAGGUCAUCAACGGUCAAUACUAAUCUCCCAGAAAAUUCGAAGACAUGUGUGCAUACGUUGUGCAGUGGGUUUUUAGUCUCCUCAGUGACCGAAAAGCUAAUCUAAGCGCGAAACGCCAUUGAUAACAUCUUCAAAACCUGAUCGAAUCCCUCACCACCAAAACAUAGUCUAAUUCGUCACCAAUGAAACCUAAUCCAAUCCUUCUCUACCAAAAUCUAAUCGAAUCCUUAACCACUCGAAUCCUUGAACAUGAGAACCUAAUCGAAUCCUUGACUACCAAACCUAAUCGAAUCCUUAACUACCAAAACCUAAUUCAAAACCUAACUUCUCUUCAGGAUUUGAUGUGAAAUUAAGAUCUAUGAAUCGAUAUACUCAUAAGACACUUCCUCUUCUUUAGUGGAACUUGAUCUAUGGUUUAGAGUAGUAGGAGACUGAUGAAAAAUUUAUGGCUGAGAGAAGAAAAUCGACAGAGAGAACAAUGGCAGCGAAAAAUAACAAAAUGACAAAAUGAUUUGUGCAGGUUAGUAUUAUUUAUUUGUAACCGUUUUGUUUGUUUGGUGUGUGUGUCUGGCGUGGAGAUACAAUCAUACAUGAGGAAAUGAUCUUUGUCUCUUUGGAAAUUCCUAGUACUAAUAUGUUACUUUUUCUUUGACAAAAAAAAACUGUUACUCUUUCUUUUUUUUGGAGGCCUACCAAUGAGCACACGAGGCUUGAAUAUAGUUCUUUCUACAGUACUUAAAAUUUGAAGUAUCCAACAAUCUUUUUCUUCUUGUUUUAUUUUUCUCUCAUAGGUCUCUGUUUCAUAAUUCCUUUCUGAUUUGUUCUCCUCUUAAAUUUGUUUAUCACAAGUAAAGCAGUGUUGCUAGAGGAACAGAGCAUAUGAUAUUCAUUUUUUUAAUUCUUAUAUGUGAUGCAGCUUUCACCGUUGAGAUUCGUCAAAGACUACAUCAAGAAAUCUGUUAGGGAUUUCGUCACAAUUUAGUGAUGGAAAUCAAACAAGAUCGCAUAACUUAAACCAAGACAAAGACGUCGUAUUAGAAAAAGAAAAUAUCACUUUUUGGUGUUAUGAAAGUUGAUGGUAUUUUUAAAAAUAUUACUUUCAUAGAGUUAUGGAAAUCCCAUAUAUAUUAUUUGAAGAUCUUUUAAAUAGUUGUAACCUUAAUUUUAUAUUAAUUAUAAAAGGAUCUUGCUUAGGUGUCAUCCCAAUACAUCUUCUAAGAAGGCAAUGAAUCUGAUCAUUCUCAGUGUGGCAGAUCAUGUGUUAAUGAAGAUCGAGUUAUGUACAUCAUCCGCUUCUACAUUGUAUACACUGGAGAGGUUAUAUCUUUCUGAGGCUCUACCGAAUAGGAUUCACUUGCAGCACAAGUUUUAUACGUUCAAGGUGGUUGACACUCGGACAAUGGAUGAGAAUAUCGAUGACUUCUUGAAGAUUAUCUCUUAUCUAUCUAGCGUGAAUGU